GCCUGCGGAAGGAUCAUUACCGAGUGCGGGUCCUUUGGGCCCAACCUCCCAUCCGUGUCUAUUGUACCCUGUUGCUUCGGCGGGCCCGCCGCUUGUCGGCCGCCGGGGGGGCGCCUCUGCCCCCCGGGCCCGUGCCCGCCGGAGACCCCAACACGAACACUGUCUGAAAGCGUGCAGUCUGAGUUGAUUGAAUGCAAUCAGUUAAAACUUUCAACAAUGGAUCUCUUGGUUCCGGCAUCGAUGAAGAACGCAGCGAAAUGCGAUAACUAAUGUGAAUUGCAGAAUUCAGUGAAUCAUCGAGUCUUUGAACGCACAUUGCGCCCCCUGGUAUUCCGGGGGGCAUGCCUGUCCGAGCGUCAUUGCUGCCCUCAAGCCCGGCUUGUGUGUUGGGUCGCCGUCCCCCUCUCCGGGGGGACGGGCCCGAAAGGCAGCGGCGGCACCGCGUCCGAUCCUCGAGCGUAUGGGGCUUUGUCACAUGCUCUGUAGGAUUGGCCGGCGCCUGCCGACGUUUUCCAACCAUUCUUUCCAGGUUGACCUCGGAUCAGGUAGGGAUACCCGCUGAACUUAAGCAUAUCAAAGGCCCGGAGGAA
rnacentral:rRNA from 1 species